UACGAAGGGGGCUAGCGUUGCUCGGAAUCACUGGGCGUAAAGCGCACGUAGGCGGAUUGCUAAGUCAGGGGUGAAAUCCUGGAGCUCAACUCCAGAACUGCCCUUGAUACUGGCGGUCUCGAGUCCGGGAGAGGUGAGUGGAAUUCCGAGUGUAGAGGUGAAAUUCGUAGAUAUUCGGAGGAACACCAGUGGCGAAGGCGGCUCACUGGUCCGGUACUGACGCUGAGGUGCGAAAGCGUGGGGAGCAAACAGG
rnacentral:rRNA from 1 species